rnacentral:rRNA from 1 species
UACGUAGGGUGCGAGCGUUAAUCGGAAUUACUGGGCGUAAAGGGCGCGUAGGCGGCGUGGUAAGUCACUUGUGAAAUCUCUGAGCUUAACUCAGAACGUCCAAGUGGUACUGCUGUGCUAGAGUGCAGAAGGGGCAAUCGGAAUUCUUGGUGUAGCGGUGAAAUGCGUAGAUAUCAAGAGGAACACCUGAGGUGAAGACGGGUUGCUGGGCUGACACUGACGCUGAGGCGCGAAAGCCAGGGGAGCAAACGGG